rnacentral:rRNA from 1 species
GACGAACGCUGGCGGCGUGCUUAACACAUGCAAGUCGAACGGAAAGGCCCUGCUUUUGUGGGGUGCUCGAGUGGCGAACGGGUGAGUAACACGUGAGUAACCUGCCCUUGACUUUGGGAUAACUUCAGGAAACUGGGGCUAAUACCGGAUAGGAGCUCCUGCUGCAUGGUGGGGGUUGGAAAGUUUCGGCGGUUGGGGAUGGACUCGCGGCUUAUCAGCUUGUUGGUGGGGUAGUGGCUUACCAAGGCUUUGACGGGUAGCCGGCCUGAGAGGGUGACCGGGCGAGUGGGGAAGGGAAAGGGACCCGUGAACCUGGGGGGGGGAGGGGGGGAGAUAAGUGCGCAAAGGGCGAUAGCCCGGAGCAGAAGCGCCGGGUGGGGGAUUAGAGGCUUCGGGUUGAAAGCAACUUUCCCCUAUAGCGAGGCGGGGGGGGGGGAAGUGGGAAAAGAAACCCGGGUUACCAGCGG